AUGGAUGCUGGUUUGCGGAACUGGCGGGAGGAUGGUCGUGUAUCUCGCAGGGUACAACGGAUAGCGGACUGUUCUUAUUGGAGGGCCGUGGUGCAGGUAGGAGGUGAGGAGGAGGAGCCCGUUCCAGCAAUCCACGCUGAGGCAGAAGCUGUCGCUGCCCAAAGUGGCCAAAUCGAUGUUAGCGCGGCGGACGACGGCAGCGAGCUCAGGGGGCUGAGGCAUCGGCACGAAUCGGGGCUUGGUGCCUCCAGUUUCGACGUAGAAACCGAGGAGGCUAGGUGGGUGGAGGUCGCGGAAGCGGCAGAGGAAGAUGAGGUCGGAGGAGACGCGGAGCCAGCGCUUGCAAACUAG
rnacentral:rRNA from 1 species